CAGUAGCCGCGGGAAUACGAAGGGGGCUAGCGUUGCUCGGAAUGACUGGGCGUAAAGGGCGCGUAGGCGGAUGAUACAGUCAGGCGUGAAAUUCCUGGGCUCAACCUGGGGACUGCGUUUGAUACGUAUUGUCUAGAGUUUGGAAGAGGGUCGUGGAAUUCCCAGUGUAGAGGUGAAAUUCGUAGAUAUUGGGAAGAACACCGGUGGCGAAGGCGGCGACCUGGUCCUUGACUGACGCUGAGGCGCGAAAGCGUGGGGAGCAAAUGGGAUUAGAUACCCCCGUAGUCCCUGUCUCUUAUAC
rnacentral:rRNA from 1 species